CUUCAACAUCUCUUCUGUGUCUCUUGUAACUCAACCACAACAACAACAAUGGCGAGCACCAAAGUUCAGAGGAUUAUGACUUAACUUGAUUUUCAGGUUUCUUCAAAGCAAAGCUCGCAUUCAAAUUU